UUGCUCGGAAUCACUGGGCGUAAAGCGCACGUAGGCGGAUUGCUAAGUCAGGGGUGAAAUCCUGGAGCUCAACUCCAGAACUGCCCUUGAUACUGGCGGUCUCGAGUCCGGGAGAGGUGAGUGGAACUGCGAGUGUAGAGGUGAAAUUCGUAGAUAUUCGCAAGAACACCAGUGGCGAAGGCGGCUCACUGGCCCGAUACUGACGCUGAGGUGCGAAAGCGUGGGGAGCAAACAGG
rnacentral:rRNA from 1 species